rnacentral:rRNA from 1 species
UACGGGGGGGAGCAAGCGUUGUUCGGAUUUACUGGGCGUAAAGGGCGCGUAGGCGGUCAGCACAAGUCAGUUGUGAAAACUCCAGGCUCAACUUGGAGACGCCACCCGAUACUGCUCUGACUUGAGUUCGGUAGGGGAGUGGGGAAUUCCUGGUGUAGCGGUGAAAUGCGCAGAUAUCAGGAGGAACACCGGUGGCGAAGGCGCCACUCUGGGCCGAAACUGACGCUGAGGAGCGAAAGCGUGGGUAGCAAACAGG